rnacentral:tRNA from 1 species
GGGGAUAUAGCUCAGUGGUAGAGUGAGUGCUUAGCAUGCCUAAGUUCCUGGGUUCCAUCCUUGGUAUCUCCA